CUAUUUUGCUGUUGCUAGGAGGAAUGAUGGCAUAGUCGGUGCAGAGUUAGCUAACAUAGUUGAGGUUGCUGCCAUCAACAUGAUGCGGGAUUCAAGGACUGAGAUUACUACUGAUGACUUGUUACAAGCUGCACAAAUGGAAGAAAGAGGAAUGCU